UGGGGAAUAUUGCACAAUGGAGGGAACUCUGAUGCAGCGACGCCGCGUGAGUGAUGAAGGAAUUCGUUUCGUAAAACUCUGUUCUAUGGGAAGAAAAGGACUGUACCAUAGGAGAAAGCUCCGGCUAAAUACGUGCCAGCAGCCGCGGUAAUACGUAUGGAGCGAGCGUUGUCCGGAAUUAUUGGGCGUAAAGGGUGCGCAGGCGGCUUUACAAGUUGGAUGUGAAAUAUUGUGGCUCAACCACAAACGUGCAUCCAAAACUGCAAAGCUUGAGUUAAGAGGAGGUGAGUGGAAUUCCUGGUGUAGCGGUGGAAGGCGUAGAUAUCAGGAGGAAUACCGGUGGCGAAGGCGACUUACUGGACUUAAACUGACGCUCAGGCACGAAAGCGUGGGGAGCAAACAGG
rnacentral:rRNA from 1 species